UAAUACGGGGGGAGCAAGCGUUGUUCGGAUUUACUGGGCGUAAAGGGCGCGUAGGCGGCGCAACAAGUCACUUGUGAAAUCUCCGGGCUUAACUCGGAGCGGCCAAGUGAUACUGUCGUGCUAGAGUGCGGAAGGGGCUACUGGAAUUCUCGGUGUAGCGGUGAAAUGCGUAGAUAUCGAGAGGAACACCUGCGGCGAAGG
rnacentral:rRNA from 1 species